UACGUAGGGUGCAAGCGUUGUCCGGAAUUAUUGGGCGUAAAGAGCUCGUAGGCGGUUUGUUGCGUCGGCUGUGAAAUCCCGAGGCUCAACCUCGGGUCUGCAGUCGAUACGAGCAAACUAGAGUGUUGCAGGGGAGACUGGAAUUCCUGGUAUAGCGGUGAAAUGCGUAGAUAUCAGGAGGAACACCGGUGGCGAAGGCGGCCCUCUGGACGGAUACUGACGCUGAGGCGCGAAAGCGUGGGGAUCAAACAGG
rnacentral:rRNA from 1 species